AAAUAUACAGUGGAAGCUAGCUGAAUUAGCCUCUCGGAGGCUAAUUGUACCUGUACAUUGUACCUGUGCUUAAUACGUUUAAUUAGCCAUGAUAGAGUCACAUAAUAGUGUUUAUAGUAAUGCUUGUUGAUGCCACUUUGUAAAAUUGGAGGGUUGCUAAAAACAUCAGUGCUCCUAGGCUGUGAUGAUCUUUAAAUUUUGUUUAUGAACUUUGUCUGAAUACACUGAUUGCAGCUAUAGGUCAUUUACUUGAAUUAAAAAUGAACUUGCAUCAGUACAGGCACAUUUCUGUCCUCCUGUCUAUGUUAUUUAUUGCUGUCGCAAGCCAGAUGAAGAGAAGUAAAGAGCUGAGAACCUGAUCUUUGAACAGACAGAGACCAUAGGUCAGGAGCAGCCUGGGAUGCUUACUGAGGAGCAUCCAAUGAUGAUACCAGAGAACCAGGAAGAGACUGUGAUAGUGCUUGAUUUGGUUCCUGUUUCUCAUCCUGUUGUCCCAUCCUCUCAGUCUUUUCAGAAGAAGAAAAGACCCAGAAGCAUCUCUCCAGCUGCCUCUCCUCCCACUCCAUCAUCUCUCCGUCCCCCACCCCCGCCCGUAGAUCAGCCACAUCUGCAUUCAUGUCACCUGCUGACCAUGCCGUCUCCUUAAGUCAGGGUGGCAUUGGUGGAAAUGUAGUACACAAAAUCAAUCCCUGGGCGUAGAACUAAUGCGCGGAAAAAUCUGGGAUGAUACCUGGGAACCUGCAAGUAAAUCCUCUCAUGUUGCUGUCCACCAAGUGCCACUUCCUUCAGACAGCGAACAAAUCCUUCCAUGAUGUUACUUUUUCUUUUUUAUAUUACAAAGUAUUAAUUUCUUUUCUUUUUUUACUGCAGUUUGACCAUUUUACAAAGUUCUCUGUGUAAUAUUGUUUUUGGCCAUUCACUGAAAUGAAUGUCAUCGUUGUAAUAUAUGUAAGCUUAUGUUGGGCUGUUUACUGACACAUUUUUGUCAAGUUCUGUUAAAGACUAAGUGAGGCUGAUUGAGUCACUGCAUCAGUCAGGUAUUGUGCCUGUAUUAAGUCUUGAAAUUUAGAACAGAAUUGUUUGUAGAUUUUGCUCAGUAAAUAUGACCUAAAGUCUUAAAAACUUUAAACAUGUUUUUUGUUUUGAGUGUUUUUAAUGUUGAUGGGGAUGAACAAAGUAAAGUCUAUAAGAAUACAUAACAAAACAAGUACAACUUGAUUUUAAUAUAACUAAUUGGAAGUGUUUUUUUUUAUCUCAAAAAGCUAUUAUUUUAAUAUGAUCUUUUUUGUGUCAUGGAUUUUGUCAAUCAAGACUGUAUUUGCAAAAUGUUAUAAUAAAAUUGCUUUCAAAUGCAGUACAUUUAUUUUUAAACACAGCAACUUUAAGUGAAGUUAUUGAUGAAGAGCAUGAUAAAAAUACAUUGUAAUGUCCAGAUCAACUGACUGUAUUAGAACAAUACAUUUUAAUAAACCUAUGUCAC